rnacentral:rRNA from 1 species
UGGGGAAUCUUGGACAAUGGGGGCAACCCUGAUCCAGCGAUGCCGCGUGAGUGAAGAAGGCCUUCGGGUCGUAAAGCUCUUUAGGUUGGGAAGAAGUUUACAUGAGGAAAUGCGUGUAAGUUGACUGUACCGACAGAAUAAGCACCGGCAAACUCUGUGCCAGCAGCCGCGGUAAUACAGAGGGUGCAAGCGUUAAUCGGAGUUACUGGGCGUAAAGGGCGCGUAGGCGGUGUUAUGAGUGUGAUGUGAAAGCCCCGGGCUUAACCUGGGAAGUGCAUCGCAAACGAUAAUACUGGAGUAUAUGAGAGGGUGGCGGAAUUUCCGGUGUAGCGGUGAAAUGCGUAGAGAUCGGAAGGAACGUCGAUGGCGAAGGCAGCCACCUGGCAUAAUACUGACGCUG